ACGGAAGGCAGCAGUGGGGAAUAUUGGGCAAUGGACGCAAGUCUGACCCAGCAACGCCGCGUGAAGGAAGAAGGCUUUCGGGUUGUAAACUUCUUUGACAGGGGAAGAGUAGAAGACGGUACCCUGAAAACAAGCCACGGCUAACUACGUGCCAGCAGCCGCGGUAAUACGUAGGUGGCAAGCGUUGUCCGGAUUUACUGGGUGUAAAGGGCGUGUAGCCGGGUCUGCGAGUCAGAUGUGAAAUCCAUGGGCUUAACCCAUGAACUGCAUUUGAAACUGUGGAUCUUGAGUAUCGGAGAGGUAAUCGGAAUUCCUUGUGUAGCGGUGAAAUGCGUAGAUAUAAGGAAGAACACCAGUGGCGAAGGCGGAUUACUGGACGACAACUGACGGUGAGGCGCGAAAGUGUGGGGAGCAAACAGGAUUAGAUACCCUGGUA
rnacentral:rRNA from 1 species